rnacentral:rRNA from 1 species
CGUGGGGAGCAAACAGGAUUAGAUACCCUGGUAGUCCACGCCGUAAACGAUGUCGAUUUGGAGGUUGUGCCCUUGAGGCGUGGCUUCCGGAGCUAACGCGUUAAAUCGACCGCCUGGGGAGCACGGCCGCAAGGUUAAAACUCAAAUGAAUUGACGGGGGCCCGCACAAGCGGUGGAGCAUGUGGUUUAAUUCGAUGCAACGCGAAGAACCUUACCUGGUCUUGACAUCCACAGAACUUUCCAGAGAUGGAUAGGUGCCUUCGGGAACUGUGAGACAGGUGCUGCAUGGCUGUCGUC